CCCUCCCCACAGCCAGUGACCUUCUGGCUCCAGCCCCACUCCUGUCCCCUGUGAAAAGACAUCACCCAGGGCUCCCUGCCAACCAUGUGAGAGUGAGGCAAGACAAUCCCCUCCCAUUCUGUUGUUGAGUCAAUAUCACUGUGUAAUCCCCUCAAAUUUCCCAUCUUUUCUCUUGAACUGUUGACAUAAAAUCUCCCCAUAAUCUCUCUAUUAUGUUGCCAAAUAUUUAGUUUGUGCCCCAUUUUCUCCUCAGUUCUGAAAUACUGAUAUCAAAUUCUCAAAAAUCUUCCCACUUUUCUCUCCAGGUGUGUGACUGAGAUCAGGGCUCUUAUCGUACUGGGCGUGGCCCUGUUCUGUCAGGUGCUGCAGAGACCCCAACUGAGAUCUGGGCCCCUUUCUGCCAGGCGCUGAAGAGACCUGAGGAGAGAUUAGAUCCCGCUGUUGUGCCAGGUGCUGCAGAGACCCCAACAGAGGUCAGACACCACUGUUAUGACAGGUGCUGUGGAGCCCCCAACUGAGAUCUGCGCCCCUGUUGUGCUGGACACUGCAGAGACCCCACAGACAUCAGGUCGCCCAUUGUGCCAGUCUGUAUGAGGAGUAUCUACUCAUUGAGACUCACUGGGGAGCCACAGAAAGGAACA